ACAUGCAAGUCGAACGGUGGUAGCAAUACCAUAGUGGCGCACGGGUGCGUAACGCGUAACCAACCUGCCCUUGACUGGGGGAUAGCCCGCCGAAAGGCGGAUUAAUACCGCAUAAACUAGCAGUCCGGCAUCGGGCAACUAGUAAAGAUUUAUUGGUCAAGGAUGGGGUUGCGUGACAUUAGCUAGUUGGCGGGGUAACGGCCCACCAAGGCGACGAUGUCUAGGGGACCUGAGAGGGUGAUCCCCCACACUGGCACUGAGAUACGGGCCAGACUCCUACGGGAGGCAGCAGUAGGGAAUAUUGGGCAAUGGGCGAGAGCCUGACCCAGCCAUGCCGCGUGCCGGAUGAAGGCCUUCUGGGUUGUAAACGGCUUUUCUCAGGGAAGAAAAAGACCAUGCGUGGUACACUGACGGUACCUGAGGAAUAAGCACCGGCUAACUCCGUGCCAGCAGCCGCGGUAAUACGGAGGGUGCAAGCGUUGUCCGGAUUUAUUGGGUUUAAAGGGUGCGUAGGCGGCCCGUUAAGUCCGGGGUGAAAGCCCACAGCUCAACUGUGGAACUGCCCUGGAUACUGGCGGGCUUGAGUCCAGACGAGGUUGGCGGAAUGGAAGGUGUAGCGGUGAAAUGCAUAGAUACCUUCCAGAACCCCGAUUGCGUAGGCAGCUGACUAGGCUGGUACUGACGCUGAGGCACGAAAGCGUGGGGAGCGAACAGGAUUAGAUACCUUGGUAGUCCACGCCGUAAACGAUGUCAACUGGUUGUUGGGUCUUCACUGACUCAGUAACGAAGCUAACGCGUGAAGUUGACCGCCUGGGGGAGUACGGCCGCAAGGUUGAAACUCAAAGGGAAUUGACGGGGGACCCGCACAAGCGGUGGAUGAUGUGGUUUAAUUCGAUGCAACGCGAAAAACCUUACCCAUCUUUGACAUGUACGGAAGUCGCUAGAGAUAGCUUCGUGCUCGAAAAGAGAGCCGUAACACAGGGUGCUGCA
rnacentral:rRNA from 1 species